CAGCCACAGUCGGUGCUGUCAACAUCUACGUAUUGAUUCCUCUGAUUCUGUUGGGAGUUCUGUGCAUCUUGUGCCUCUGCUACCGCUGGAAGCGACAACGCCAAAUGGAUAGAAACAAAGCUGUUCUGUGUUGGAUUCUUCCAAUGAGCACCAAGGAUAUCCAGCAUGGACUGUACACAAAAAAUGAUAAACAAGGCCCUGACAAGCUUCCUCCUCCUAAAAGUGCCUUGGACACAUGACUGCCUGGGAUUGGGAUAAUUUUGCCUAACAGUGAAAUGAAAACAGGGGAAGGUUUGCAAAACUGAUAUUUUUGUAUUGGUAUUGAUGUAUUUGUGUUGAUUUGUUAUAUCUCCUCAGACUUCUGCAUGAAUUGCAUUACAUGCAACUUGCCACAUUUUACACAAAGAAAAAUACCACAAUAUAACUGUUUUAAUAUUUAUUAGUUUGAAUAAAUGACCCAAUAACCCGAGUUGUAUAUAGAUCGCAGUAGCUAUUUAUUUGAGACUGUUAAAUUAUAGUUGUGGUUCUGUACAAUAAAAAGCAAGUUUUGUAUUUUUUUCCCAUCUUUGCAUUAAACUUUAUUUUGGUUAGGCUUCUAAUGCCACAGGCCCCAAAGCUGUUUCUUUGAGGCCUGGGGCCUAUGCUGGAUUUUAUGAUGCUGGGAGUCUUGAAUGAUCUACAAGAGGUAAUAGAUAAAACAUAAAAUAACUUUGCAGUUGGUAUUCUUCCAAAAGGUGCUGCAAAUUUUAUCUGUAUUUUUUA